UUGACCGGAAAUAUACCCCAUAGAUUCACACGAGUGUUUUGUUUUGUGUUGUGCAUUUGCCCUCCCGUUUGAAUAGAAACUACGAACUUGCCAUUAACGUUUUUAUAUCAAUUUGCAACGUUUUUCUUGUUUCUGCUAAUUAAGAAAGCAGUUUUUUUUUUUUUUUUAAAGUAAUCAAUUAAGAAAGCAGUUAUGUUCACCACAUUAAUUACCUGAACAUGAAAUUAAGAACCAAUAUUUAUUAUAAUUUCUUUUUCUUUUUUUUGGGGUAAAAAUUGAAAUGCGUGAUGAGACGUUUUGGUGUGUUCUAGUUUAGAAUCGAUUGUCAACAAAGGAAUGAUGUUUUUUCUAUUUUUAGAAGAGCAAAUAAAUUAUGUUAGAGAAGAUAAUCCUACCUGAUUGGUGUUGGAAGGGAAAAGGUGAUCUCAAGAACUAUUGUAGGGCAACUAAUCUCAUCACCGUAACGAGGACACAAACAAAUAUCAACAUUGUCUAGAUAACAAUAACACCAUUCUACUUAGAUACAAGAUUUUAUCCUAAAAGACGACAAGUAGUGAUAUACUGAUAAGUAGCGUUCAUUUAUAUAUAUUAAUUGUUGAGUUUAACUUAGGGGCUGUUGUUGAAUUUUAUUUUAUUUUUGUUGAUUUAUUUUCUUUAAAAGUAUGAGUAGUAGUAAUGAUCUUAACUAUUAGUGAUGAGGUACUUUUACGUAUUACCGUUGUUGGCAAAUGCGGUUGCAAACUAUCUAUUCCCAUUGCUCAAAGUAAGCAUGGAUGAUUGAAUGAGGAUUAUUGCCAUUUCUUAUGUUGGUGUGUGUUUCAUUUUCUGUUGAUCGGGACUUGCUCCCCUGCCAACCCUCUACGUGACUUGCAAUUAUUAUACAGUCAAUCCGGUUUAAACAUUUCAUUUUUGAUCGGUCAUAGCACUAUUGGUUUCUUGAGCCAACCCACUCAUUCGAAAGUAGAGAAAUGAAGACUUGCCAAACACCCCCAACUUUGGUACUCCACAUUACACCUAUAUCUCCAAGCUUACUCUCUAGUCUUAACACAUGUCGGUUUGUAUCAUGUUUUAAUUUCUAUUUAUUCUAACAUUUGGACAUAGUAUAUUCAAGAAUCAAGAUAAAUAGAUAAUCUUUGUUUUCGGGUCAUGAAAGGUAGUCAACUUUCAGCUCCUACAAUAUUUCAGCUCUGUCAAGACGAUUAUACAACUGCCAAUCAGGCAUAUAUAUAUCCUUUCUCUAAUUAUACAACUCAUACUAUCAAUAUGCUAGUGGACGCCGUGACGUCUAUUCGUUUUGACUUUGAAGUUUUAACACUAGAUUACAUUAGCUACUCUAUCAAAUUCUUACACUCAAUCACGAGAGAUAUAAAAAAAUAAAAAGUUCUCCGUUUUGUAAGUUAAAAAGUUCUUAAAUAUUACUGCAGUCGAUAACUAGUUAUUAUGUAUUCAUAAUAAAACAAUAAAUUAUGACAGAGACACAAAAUGUAUUUUUAAUGUUAGAAAAAGCUAAGAAAAUGACAUAUUCGUCCUAAAUUCGGCUAAACUAGCUAUUAUGCGUCCAUAAUAUAGAAACAUAUAAAUGUGACAAGAAAAUAUUUUAAAAAUAUUAAAUAAAAAUGUCAUAUUAUUCAAAAGCAUGUGAAAUUGACAAGUUCUUAUCAAAAAUUAAAACAUAAAACAUACGACAAUGACCAUUCUCUUUUGUAAAAUGCACAAUUAAUCCAUAAAUUUCCCACAUAUUAGAAAUUGUAACGGUCCUAUGAAUCAUCAAUUUUAAAGUGAAAGGUAUGUUUGUAAUAUCCUUCAAAACAUUGAACUUCUCUUCCAUUAUGUAAUUUAUGAUCAAUGAGACUUUCAUCUUCUGACAUCGCGUUCUUAUUAGGUUUGAGUCCAACAAGCUAAAUCGUAAGCAUUUUCAUUUAGCUAGUGGCCUAGUAAACAAAUUAAUAUGCCUAAAAGCUAGAACUCGAUAGAUAAAUCUACAGAGACUCAAAUAUCUACUUAGAACUUAUAAUAGAGAAAGAUAAAUCUAUAUAAAUAACAAAAAUGAACAAACGAAAAACUUUCUACUCACGAUAUCAUUUGGUUUAGUGGCAUUAGUCUCUUUCUAUAAGUGGGAAGUUAUGAGUUCGACUCACGAUAAACUCGUUGUAGCAUUUUAGUUGUUUGUAUAAUUAAAAAAAAAACAACUUUCUACUCAAAUCGAUGAACAAGCUAAUUUUUGUAGUAAGAUAGUAGAAAUAGAUAAUGGAGUAACUUCUCGGUAAUUAUUGAUUCAGAACUCAAAAUCGCACAUACCUACGAUAAAUCUGGAUAGAAGUGAGAUCAUCACUCAUGGAAAUUCUACUACUCAUACAUUGUGAGACUUUACAUAUGUUUAUUGUACGUGCAUAUAUACAAAUUAACUAGACAAUCGAUUACUCUAUUUCUCUGGUUCAUCUCAAAAUCUAAAAGUCAGCCUUGUUCAAAACUUUGGCCAUGAGAUAACCAAAGCUUUCACAAAUGAUAUAUACAUUAAUUAUACACAUUUCUUGCUCGUCUUUGCAUAGAUAUUUACGUCAUAGCCAACCAUGUCACACUAGGUCUCCCACUCAUUUAUACCACUAAAUAAGUAAGAAUGACAAUUUUGACUCGAUCCAAGUAUGCCUAGCUAGCACGUAUGUGGUUGAUAUAUAUCCCUCUACUUGUUUUUCAUGAAUUGAAUUCCCAAUUGGUGUUCCCUCGAUCAUUUAGUCGACCCUCUCUUGAAUUUUAUAUAUUUCAACUAGUGUAGUUCACAUCUACAUAUGUUUGUUUUGUUUUCUUGUUUAUACAAACACUACUAUAUAGCUAGUGUGAUAUUAUACUAUUUGCAGCCCCUCAGGAUUGACCAGACUUGUAUACACAUGGAGUUUGGACUCAUGUCAUUUCCUCACCGAUCAUCUGUAAAGCAUUUCAAUUUCAAUAAUCAACAAUAUAUAUUUGAGAAAAGAAAAAGGUUUACUUGAUCUUUGCUAGGGUACAAAAAUCACUAAUCGACAACCGCCAGAGUAUAUUAUACGCUAUUUGCUAAUUUUCUAAUGCAUCAAUAUAUAUAUAUAUAUAUAUAUAUAUAUAUAUAUUAAGCCUGUAGUCAUGUUAAAAAAAAAAAAAAAAAGUCUGCAGUCAUCAUAAUUAGUUAUUGACCAAUAGAUCCAUAAUCAACCACCGUUAGAUAUAAAUAAAAAAGUUAAAAACAAAACAACUUAAUUUUAAAAUAAUACUUCUCAUAAUUGUAUUUACAUCCAAAUGGUGAUUGACUAUGAUUCUCUUAAUCAGGUGAAUGAUAACGUUUAAGCCUGACAGUCUUUAAUAGCGUCUAUAUUGUUAAAGGAUGGUUGGUAUUAUAAUUUUGUUUGUAUUAUUAUUUAUCUUUUCCCCAGAUCUUUAACAUUGUUUUCCUCACAACACCAACGGACAUGCCACAUAUACAAAUUGUAUAUAAUUGACCGACCAUAUUAUCUGAGAGAAUUACUAUAAUAGUAAUCUUCUUUGUACUGAUUUUAUUCAUAUUAGUACGAUACAACAAAUCGAGCAGAAUUAAUAGUAAUCCUCUUUGUCAAUCACGAUCUAAUCAUUUUAAUGCGCAAUAUAACAGAUACUGACAUACUAUAUACAAAGAUGGCGUGCUCAAAAUGGCCUAAAUGCAAAUCGACCCUACAUUAUAGUCUGUAUAUCACUGAAAUUGUAACUCGUAACGACAAUAGGAAAUUGUCAACACCAUUAGAUAUGUAUAUAUAGUGGGAGACCAAAACAUACCCGAUCACUUCCUUUUGCUUUUGUUUUUGUUUUCCAAGAGCAACAUGCAUGGUUGGCCACCUUUUCGAUCAGUUCACUUCCUCUGCGAUUCUAGCAGGCCCGGACCUGAGAUUUUCAGGUCUGAGUCGAAAUUUCAAAAUUGGGCCUUUAAAUUGUAGUUUAAUUCUAGAUUAUAUAUAUAUAAAUAUAUUUCAGAAAUUAAAACUAUGAAUUCAUAUUCUAAUUAUAAAACAUCCAAAAUGUUCUGCUGAUUAUAUUUUAGGAAUUCUAUUUACAUUAUGAAACUUAUUUUAAACUCUUACCUUUUCUUUUCUUUUCUAUUUUUUCAAAAAACUUACCUUAUUUUGUUUUGGGUACAAUUUCGAGUAGAAAUUAAAUUAAAUGUUAACACUAAUUUCGAGAAGAACAUAUUUGUUCCCCUUGUUUUGGCCCCUUAAUUACAGUCAGUAUCAUUCUCUUCCUGUGUUUAAAAGUGGAGCUGUGACAUUAAUUGUCCAUUUCAUUAAUUAUUUAAUUGUAUUUGAUCAUAGAAUAAGCUUUAUUUUUUUCUUUUUUUCUAGGCCCCAAGAUCUUUGAGCCCUGAGUCAAUGGGCUCUUAGGACUCCUAUCAAGUUCGGGUUUGGAUUCUAGCUAGGGAUAACAAAGGAAAAAGAAAUCAGAUCCCAUUCCAAAACGUUCAAGAACUGAAAACCAUUUCCUCCUAGAACUAGGACUCUUUCUGUUCAGACUUCAAACCAAGCUAUGGAGUAGAACAGCCAAACCCCUGGGCAAAGGUCCUAUGGGACUGAGCAUGAAGGAUUAUCUAUGGUAGUUUCAUUUUUUUGUUUUGUUUUGUUUUUUUUUUCAUCUGUUGCUUAUGUUUUCUUCUUUGAAUGUUGGCACAAAAGGAAGUUUAGAAAAUUCGUUGAUUAUUAUUUAUCUAGUAAAGGUCAUAUGGAGUUGAUCAUAACGAUAUAGUAGGGGAUAAAUCAGAUGAUUAUAUUGAAGUAGUUUGAAGAAGUAGAUAUUAUGGUUUAAUGCUGCCGAAGUGAUAGGCGCAAUGCAUCCCACAUCAAUAUUGAGAGCAAGAGCUGUCAAGUGUGGGUGACAUAAAAUAAACUAACCAGGUAUUGUUUUAAACACGGAGUCAUGCGUUAAGCACAUAACGAACUAUUCUUUCGCCUUUUACUAAAGAAUACCGUGUGCAUGAUGUUUUAAGUAACAUGCGCCUAUUUUUGAAAGGGAGUACCUCUGUGGGUGCCCCUCAAAUUAGUUUCUUAAAUUUUAAUUACUACCAACUUUUUAAAAAAGAAGUAAAUAGUCUAAAAAUAUUACAAACGAUGAUACUCUAGUCUCUACGUUGUUUAGCUUUGUGGUGGAAAUUGAAAUGAUUUUCUUUAAUUAGUAAACUUUCAUGUUUUUUUUAUCUCUAUUUUGUGGCUGGGUGGUUGGUUAGAUAGGCUAAUCAACGACGUUGAAGUCAUGAGUUCAAAUCUCACUUAUUUAAUAAAAAGUUUUUUAGCAAAAUGAUUUUUUUUGACUGAAUUAAAUUGUUGUAAUAUAUUUUUCGUUUUCAAAAAGAAACUUUCUUGGUUUUUGUUUUUUGGUCUAUGAAUAUUAAUGAUGUAUGCUUGUUUAAUGAUGUUUGUUUGUUGUGUUUUUUUUUUAAGGAAGAAUGAUGUUUGUUGUUUGAGGUUAAGAAAAAAAUAAAAUAAAAUAUUAAUCUUGUCCCACAUCGCUAACUUGACAUAAGAAUGAGAAGGGAGUUGGUAUAAAAAAAGGCGAACCAAAAAUGAUAAAAUCAUAUCUUUCUCGGCCUUUUGGCUAAGAUCAAGUGUAGUAUUUGUUCUUAUGAGUUUAAUAUCUGAUAUGUGAGCUAUCGGUUUAUAUGAUAUUAAAUUAAUUUUUUAAAAGAUGAGUCUACCACAAUAACUUGUUAUUAGGGCUCACACGUGUGUGUUGCACUAUUGCAAGGUUUGGGGCACCCUACCAAAUGCAGUGAAAUUUUACUUAUGUAAUCCGAUUGUAAUAAUAGGAACAAGUAUUUGAGUUGGCUGAAGAAGUAACCACCGGUUAUUUUGAUGGUUUACAUGAAUGAUAUUCGCUACCUUCCCUAUAAGAAGCCAUCGUUCAAGACAUGAUUGUUCUAACAAUGUACAAUCGAUGGGUUUGGUGAAGCUAUACUGUCCGAUGGGAGAUCCCCUUUGCUUGGUAGUAGUUUGAGCUCUGAAGGACCAGAAACUAUGUGAGAUUGGCAAGAUCACCGGUGGCUUUUGCUCAGGAUUCCUCCAAAGAAUGGAGUUGUGAAGGUAGAUUCGUUCUUUUUAUCUAUAUCUAGUCUCAAAGGAGGGUUAUGAAAAGCCAGUUAUAACGCUGUUCAUGGUCGUACGUAAAUUACGGCUAAGACUCCUAAGUCCUAAGACCAGGUUCGCUGCCAGUCCCACAUCAGAGAAGAGCAACAUAUAUCUAUCUCGAGGGUUACAAAAGAGAGAAACUCAAGUCUGUAAAACUCACGGAGCCAUGUGUUGAGCACAAAGCGAACUAUUCUUUCGCCUUUUACUAAAGAAUACCGUGUGCGCGGCGCUUUAAAUGGCAUACGCCUAUUUUUGAAAGGGCGCACCUCUGUGGGUGCCCCUCAAAUUUUAGUUUACAAAUUUUUGUUAACAGGUUCUCCAUAAUAAUCUAUAAUCUUCCAUUUUCCAGUUGUUUCAUUAUGUUCUUAAUCGCACCAGGUUCUUCUGUUGCAUUAAAUCUUACAACCACUAUGCGCACCUUGCUGCAGCACAAGUGGGCAGUACAUGAAGUUUGAAGAUCUCUGAGAAACUUCCAUCAGCCGAAGGUAGUGUCACAACAUCAGAGACAAUCCCAGUUCAAGAGCUCCAUAAUAAGGUCCAGGGCUCCAUGUUCUUCGGCUAAGGUCCUGCUGCUACCACUCUUGGUGGAUAUGGCUGAUGUUUUUAACUAAUUGACUCUCGUAGACGUAGGACAACAACCCCAGCUUUCAUGUGAAAUAGAGCGGUUUAGACAUUUAGGGGUAUUUGUGAAAUAGAGCUGCUUAUGAGAAGCAAAUAGUUUUCUUUUGUAUCAUGCAUACAGCAGGUUGCAGAAUCAAAACCCAGUUUAAAGUAUGGAUCAUGUAAAGUAUGAAAACCUCUAGGCCAUAAUCGAUAGAGGUUUUUGAAUGUGUAGAGUAUGAAGUUGAAGGCUUGAAGCACAGGAAGUUUGUUCCAGAAUGUCCAAGUGCAAACAAUAGAAUUUAACUGGGAACUGAUAGGAUUCUUCUGUAUAUACACCCACCUUGUAAAUAAAAUGGCCUAGGUGGAAACUCAACUCCUCCCGAGUGAUGAAAGAAUUGAAGUUGAAUGAAACUGCCGUGACGUCUUUCACUAUUCGUCGACGAGCUGAAAACCUUCAACACCCAUGAGAUUUGCUAAUGACAUAUCAACUCCUCCCACGUGAAGUAAGAAUUGAAGUUGAAUGAAACUGCCGUGACGGCUUUCACUAUUUGUAGACCAGCUGCCAACUUUCAACACCCAUGAAAUUUGCUAAUGUUCUUUAACUAUGACAUGCUAACGUUCCUGCAUAUAUAAAACCUGCACUACAGCAUCUUUCAUUAGUUCAGGGCCACUCGUAAGAAACUUGUGUUAGUGAAGUCCUUUACAAAUCCAAUAGACCUGGCUAAGAAGGGCAAUACUACUGGUUGAUUCAAUGCUAUGACUUGGGUUAGUUUGGAGUUAAUACAAAUCACAAAUACAUUUUAGAAAGGUGUUCCAAGUUCAGCACUCCUAGACUUUGCUGUUUGUGUAAUGUGAACAGUACCACAUCGGUUAUUGGCAGAAGCAGGAAUUUGAAUGGUUCUAUAAAAAGAGAAGAGUUUGGUUGAACAAAUCAUACCUUUCUCGGCCUUUUGGCUAAGAUCAAGUGUAGUAUCUGUUCUUAUCAGUUUAAUAUCUGAUAUGUGAACCAAGUGUUCACACGAUAUUAAAUUAAUUUUUUAAAAGGGUGAGUCCACCACAAUAGCUUGCUAUUGGGGCUCACACGAGUCAUCCUUGUGUUGCACUACAACAAGGUUUGGCGCACCCUACCAAAUAUAUGUACAAUGUUCAUGGUUGAAUCCUAAUACCAAAAAGGUUUGGCGCACCCUACCAAAUAUAUGUACAAUGUUCAUGGUUGAAUCCUAAUACCAAAUGCAAAAGCUUUUUUGGCGGUUUGUUGAAAAAUCCUGUUCAUAAUCUAAAAGUAUGUUAAUGAAACAGUUGCAUACCUGGUUUUUGAAGAUAGUUCUACUUGUAUUAUCUAGAACGACUGGUAACAUUUGAGUUUUCCAACUAAAGCUAGGGCCUCUCUAAGCGCCUGAAGGAGAUGCUCUGGAUAAUCCUCAAUCCCAGUAAUGCCGUGCUGUGAUUGCAUUGAACUCAGGAUUCUUCCAACAAUCUGAAUAUAUAUACAAACCAAUUUACGCCUAAGCCUUCAAACAUGAGUGAAAGACACAUUGUAUGAUGCUAAUAAAGGGGAAUGACCUUUCGUGCAUAGCCACCAUAAGCAACACCACCAAUCAUAGCUGUUGAGUUUUCAUCCCUCGAGUUCUCUAUCAGAAGUUAAGAAGAUAUGAGGAAUAUAAGACCAAUGGUGAAGAAUGAGUACUUGAACCUAAAAAGUGGGAGAAUGUUACUUGUAAAGGAUGUCGCUUGAAAAAGUCCAACUUUCCUCAACCCAUCAACUGUGUGAGCAUUGGUGCCACCGGCCAGUUGAAGAAAACCUGCCAUAUUAAUCACCAGUGGAUUAACAAAAAGAAAAAAGAAAACCUUGUGUGUCCGAGGCUGGAAAACAACAAUGAUAUUCUCAAAAAAGCAUGGAGAAUCGUCUGCACAAACCAUGAGGCCUUUCUUUUAUAGCAGCUAAACGAAGAGCAAAAGCGAUUGAUUCUCUUGUGGCACCUCGACCAAUAUCUCCGCUCAUGGGGCGCCCAUCCAACUUCAGAUUCAUAAAGGUAGAAUGCCAGAAAAGAGAAAAUCAAUUUAUGUUGAUGAUAUCGUGUGAUAAUACUUGGAGCAUUCAUAUUUACAUGUAAGUACAGUGAUAGGAAGCACACCUGCCAUAAAUUGAAGCAAGAUAAAUCCGGUUCCAUAAUGGAGUACAUAGCCUUCAUUGUUGAUACAGUUGACUCUCCAUGAUCAGGUAAACUAACCUGAAAAUGAUAACAACUAUAUCAGAUCUCCCAAGAUAUUCUACUAGGUUCCCAUUUAGUUGUGCACAUCAGCACAUGACAAUCAUAGUGACUUAGUAAACAGCAGAGAUGGAUAAAACACCUACUGCUGCUAGUUUAAGAUGUUUGAUUGAACCUCCCAAACCAUCCCAAAGUUCUUUAAAUGGAGCAAUCUGCCUACAGAAACUGAGGCUUAGUACAGACUACAGAGUGAUAGCCAAACAUUUGUAUUCUCCAAUGAAAAUUGUAAAAGUUCUUCGAUAUUAUUACUUUAAUGAUCAAGGUACUGUACCUUCCACUUGUAUGAAUCUCUAUAGCAUGAACAUCAUUUCUUUUGAGAAGUUCAGAGGUUGCCGCAGUAUCUCUUAUGUAUGUGCUCACACCUACAUCAAUUUUGUAGUUUUGUUAAAAGGGACCAAUCUAGACAUGAUAAAGGCCAGCUACAAUGUAUAUAUUAGACAUAUGUAUAUACUUAUUUUAUCGUAUGGGCAAACUGGAAGGCAGCGGCCACAGCCAUAGCAGCGUUCAGUUAAUACUCCAGCCUGCAUGUUUAACUAACAGUUUCAGAAAGGGAUCUUUGAUAAAAAAAAAGUCAACACUACCUAUAGAAGUUUCACAUCAAAAAUAUGCUCCAAAAAGAAAAACAAAACCUUUACUGAGGUCGGUGUUUUGUUGCCAUACGAGAAUUUUGUUGUUGACCAUCCAGACUCAAAAGAUAUUGCAUCAGCAGGACAUACUCUCUCACAAGGCCUUGAACAGUCAAGUGGACACUCCUCUGGAUCAAAUUCUGUUCACAAUUAUGAUGUUACUCAAUUCAGUUAUAGUUAGCCAUCACCAAAUAUUGGUAACUGAAAAGAACCAAAGAAAUCAUUGUUUUCAAGCUGAAUUACUGAAGCACCUAACCUUGAGAUAUCAGAUCACAACCUUAUGUUGACAAUAAUGUUAAAACAUGAGCCACAUAAAGCUGAUGCAAAUUUCACCUAGAGAAAUGGAAUAAUGCAACUCAUUUCAAUGCUUAUCAUGCUAUACAAAGUAAACAAGGAGGUACUUAAUCACCAGCUUUUCGAAAGUGAAGAUCCUCAUCAUCAUUUACACUGAUCAUCACCCAAGGCCUUCGAAAAGGGAAAAUCUCCAAUGCUGCAUCAAUCCCCUCAUUUACCGCGCUCACCACCGAUACAUCUGCCGCACAGUCUAUGCAAUCCACUGCAACAACACCAUUCAAUAAAUUCAGUUUCUCACUCAACCAAAAGUGACUAGUUCAAUAAACAAAGUUUCUAAAUUAAGAGUUCUCAAUUACCUCCAGCAAGAGUGUAAACCAAAGAAAGAUUCCGUAUAUCAACCACAUCCUAGAGAAGAACAUAUAGCAGAGUUAGUGUCAGGGAGUUGGCAACUUGGCAUAUAAGCUUAAGGGUCAUUGUUGUUGUUACCAAUUACCUCGAAGCUUGCGCCGCAUAUGAGCUUGACCCAGUUGCCAUUCUGAAGAGAUUUUACUGGAGAGGACACAACUGAUGGAACCCCAACAGUUUUGAUGAGGCUCUUCACAUCUUCAAGGGCUUUGUUGCCUCUAAGGUUCAGUUUUGCUGACAGAAGAUGAAGAAUGGGAAUUUGAAGUAGUUAAAGGUAAAGCUUUUUGAUCAGACAGAAGGCAGAGAGAGAAGUGAGGAGAAAAAGAAGAAACCUUGAUGCUGUUGAGGAGCAAUUGAAGCACAACAGGAGAAGAAGCUCAGUGCCAUCUCAAACUGAGAUUCUGAGUGAACCUGGCUCAGUGAUAUCCAUUAACAACAGAAUUUGGCGGUUCUGUAAAUUAUCCACUAUUACUUCCAGCAAGUAAUAACUGGGGUUUUCCUGAUAAUGAACCGCAAACUAAAUACAAAGGGUCCAAAAUCUAGUAAUCUACCCGGUCCAAUAAACGAGAGUGAGACACAUUUUUUUCUUUUUCUAUUUCAUAUCAAACGACGCCUCAUAAUUGAUAACUUACCUGAGUUACCUCGCUUUUUCUUCAGCGCUCUCUCAGCUUUUCUAAUAUACGGUACAUGUGUCUCCUUUCCAUCGUUUAUCUUCACGGAAAAUAGGAUUUUUGUUUAAAAUUGUUUGGAGAUUCUAAACCGAUGCUCCACAAAUCCCACAUUUGCUUGUGCAGGAAGAUAUUGUCGCAUUCAUGUACAUAUGUACCCUAUAAACAUCCUAGCCUGUACGUACGUACAUCACAGGGAUUAUUGGGCAUGAAUGACUACAGGAAACAAUAUGGAUUUACUAUGCCAAAAAUAGCAUCAGACGACAGUUGAGCACUAUCGUCUGAAGAAAAAACAUAUGUCGUCUGAGGUUCUGCCGUCUGAUAGGCUAUCAGACGACAGUUCUCCACUGUCAUGUAAGUGCAAGUCAGACGACAUAUAAUAUGUCGUCUGAAAUUUGACAAGUCUGGAAUGUUUCCGAACUUUAUGUCGUCUCGAUAAAAGACCAACAACAUUUAAAUGUCGAGUGAAAGAAGAAAAAAUGAAAGAUUUGUCGAAAUAGAUGUAGUGUGAUACAACCUUAUACUACAUAUAAUCGUCGACCUACAUAACCUACAACGACAAAUACAUUCACAUGAUGUGGUUAGAUGAGGUUUCUAAUGACAAUUUAAUGUCGUCUGAUGUUAUCAAAUUUAGAAAAUUAUUAGACUUUAUAUCGUCUGAAUGGAAAACCAACAACAUAUAUAUGUCGUCUGAUGAGGCACUUUAUAUCAUUUAUAUCACAUGAUAAUUCGUUUAACUUCACUUUUAUGUUGUUUGAUUGUUUAUUGGACUUCAUAUUUUUGUUGCUUAUUUAUUAGAAGGGCUUAUGUCGUUUGAUUGUCUAUUAAACUACACAUUCUUGUUGCUUGUUAUACGCACUUAUGUCGUUUGAUUGUGAAUUAAACUUCAGAUAUAACAAGAAAAGUAACUCUUCAUUAAAUGUCAAUAAUCCACAUCAAUUACAAAAUCAAUUUAAGUGUAAGAAUAAAAAUAUAUAAUAACAAUACAUAUUACUCCUAAUCUACAUAUAGAACUACUACUACAUUCUCAUUUCUCCUUUACCAUGAGCGCAGAGUUCUCGAAACUUCAACAAGAUGAGAAUCAUGUCAUGUACAUCCUCUAAUCUUUUCCAUGCUAUGUGCAGCCGCAACAAACCUUAUUGCAUUCAGAAAUUAUAAAGAGAAUAACUACAACAUUGUUAAAUCAGUUACAACAGAGAUAGAAAGAUGGACAUUGAAUUAUUUACAAAUUCAGCAGUCAGCAGCUAAAGAUGCCAAGUGCAAACAAAUGUGUAUGCAGAGUAUAUCACCACAUGUGUAUGCAUAUAUGCAUGUAUAUAUAUAGCUAUAGAGUAUAUAACAAUCGAUUGUGAGAAUACUAGAAGCAAUUGCUACUAAGAUCAAAAUCAAAUUUGUGUUGCCUCCCUUAAAUUUCUUCAAGUUAAAUAUUGAUGGUACUAGAGCUACUGCUUCUGGGAAGAUUGGUGCAAAUGGAGUGAUUAGAAAUCAUGCUGGUACUUGGAUUAUUGGUUUUCAGAUUAAUUUGGGAGUUGGUGAAAUCCUUACUGUUGAAGCUUGGGGCUUAUUUUAUGGUUUGAAGCUUGUUGUUAAGUUGCAGAUUUCAAACUUAGAAGUUGAAUCAGAUUCUGCAAUUUUGGUUAAUUUGAUGCACAGUUCAAAUCUGGCUCUCCAUCCUUUAGGCUCCCUCCUUGAUGGUUGUUGCAAGCUCAUGUCUAGAAUGGAAAAUGCUAAGCUCAGCCAUAUUUUUCGUGAAUCUAAUGACUGCUGAUGCUUUGGCAAAGAGUAGUAUCUCCCAUGAUUUGGGCUUCAUAAGCUUUGAAGACCCCCCUGUGCAUGCUGCACAAGCCUUUCUUGAUGAUUUGAGUUCUACUGUUAGAGCUAGAAGAUCUGCUUCAUGCUUUAAUAUUUAGUUGUUUUUUGUUUGAGCUCGUUUGAGCUCCGUUUGUAAACCAAAAAAAAAAAAAAAAUCAAAUUUGUGUUCACAUGUCACUAGUCAUCAACUUGUCAUCCAGUAAAGACAAUGUAUAAUAAAUUCAACAAGGCAUCAAUGCACUGACGAGUUUGUAAUAUCUUAAUUCCCUAACAA
rnacentral:lncRNA from 1 species